CGAAUAAGUUUAACAUGCCAUUUUGGGAUCUUGUUUGUCUGGUUAAACUGCUAACCCACCUCGAACCAUCACACAACCAGCAUCCAAACAGAGCCUGGGUUGUUACUUGCACCUUCAUUUUCAUUGGUGGUAAUUCAUUCUGGAAUCCAUUUCUAAUAUGUAAGAUGUCCCUGUUGGAUGUAUAUUAUGCAAAAUUUAAUGCAAAAUUAGCUUACUAUAUGAUGGUGGCUGUUGUUGUUUGGAAUACAUUCUAGAUGAAGAAUAGUUGUAAUAUUAGCCCUAAGGUACGAACAUAGAGUUGAAACAUUUGUUGUAUUGUUUUGGUGGAUUCUAGAAUUUUUUGCAUGAAAUGUUCCACAAAACAAGUGCCAGGACUCAAAAGAUUUUGAGAACUUUAGAAGUUUGCUAUUUAGUCAUUUUUUUGAGUGUUGAAUGAGAAACAUCAGCGAUAUUCUUGAGGUCUUCUGGCUAUAUAUAAUCUAUGAAGUUUGAUUUUUUUUUCUUUUUCUAUUUUGAACUUUUUAAUUAUAUUAGAAAGGGAAAAGAAUCAUAACUUUAAUGAUACACUUAAUCAAGGCUCGUCAUCUCGGUACUAGAACCCGUACCGGUGCAAUACUAGUACAGUACGAUACAGAGUUUUUUUGGUGUACCGACUCGGUACGCCACCCUUACCAGGUACUGGUGGUACCGGUACCAAACCGAUAUGGUACGGUAUGUCCCGUACUAUCUAGUUCGGACUGGUACGGCGUACCUUGCGCUUAAUUGUAUUGUGGAGCCUUGUGACAUUGAUAUAAGAUCUUUCUAGAAGUUGAAUUGUUGCUCGGCCGAGUUCUUUUUGCUGUCCAAUUAGCUAUUUAAAAGGCAGGGUCAUCCAAUCAUCUGUAGGAUAAAAGGGACGUUAUGUAGCCUUCUGUUUGAAUCUAUUCUUUCUGCUGGGUUUUCUCAACUUAAUUUGUUGGAAGUUCAUUGAAGCAUGUAAAGAUUGACUUGUUUGGAAAAGAGCUGCAAUUCUGUUGAAACAAUAUUCUGAUUUUGAACAAAAAUCACUUAAUUCUUCUUACUACAGAUCAUGGCAAUUUAAGCAUGCAAACAUCCUCUUAUUUUCUUUUCUUAGUCAAUCAAGUGGGAUAACAAUUCUUAAUGUUUAUACUUUGCUUGCUUGAUACUGCAACACAGACCGUCUGUUUUGUAUCUGGUGUUCAUGC
rnacentral:lncRNA from 1 species